rnacentral:lncRNA from 1 species
AGAUGGUCCAAGCUCUGUGAUCCCUGGGUUGAGCAAGCAUGAUUAUGACCAGCUGAUGAUGAUGAUACACCAGUCCAAGCUGGGUGAAUCUACUGCUCAAGCUCCUUCUCCCUCAUAUGCAAACUUUGCUGGUACUUGUUGACUGAGAAUCCUAUAUCUGAUUCCACAUUUUGUUUGCUCACUCACAUUAAUUCUGUCACCUGAAUAAUUGAUUCAAGUGCUUCUAAUCAUAUGACUCAUGAUAAGAAUUUACUCUUUAAUAUUGUCCCUUUACCUCUGC